UACAGAGGUCUCAAGCGUUGUUCGGAUUCAUUGGGCGUAAAGGGUGCGUAGGCGGCGAGGCAAGUCUGGUGUGAAAAUCCCCGGGGCUCAACCCCGGAACUGCACUGGAUACUGCUUUGCUAGAGUACUGGAGAGGGAACUGGAAUUUACGGUGUAGCAGUGAAAUGCGUAGAUAUCGUAAGGAAGACCAGCGGCGAAGGCGAGUUCCUGGACAGUUACUGACGCUGAGGCACGAAGGCCAGGGGAGCAAACGGG
rnacentral:rRNA from 1 species